rnacentral:tRNA from 1 species
UGGGCCGUUAGCUCAACAGGUAGAGCAACGGACUCUUAAUCCGUGGGUUGCAGGUUCGAGUCCUGUACGGCCCACCAA